ensembl:lncRNA
GUAGGGGAGAGUUGGGUAAGUUGAACCAAAGAGGUAAGUUGAGACACCUUUGUUUCUAGGAAACCAUACACAAAAUUAAUACUUUUAAAUAUUUAGGAAGAGGUAUUCAUGUCAUGGAGUCUGUGAAGGAAGAAACCACAUGGAAAAAGUGUACCCACCACUGAGGCACAACCCAAAGAAUGGGCAAGGCAAUCUGGAGAUGUUUUGAGUUCGUAUUUACCCCAUGCCUCAUCAUAUUAAAUCAAGAGAAAUGAGCCAGUGUUUACCUAAUCACAUUAAUGGAUAUUUUUGUACCUCAAUAUUUGCUUUGGGACAAUUUUCUUUCACUGUAGUUUCAAAGCACCUCUUUGAAAUUCCACCCACUGCUUGUACACUAUCAUGUAAAGUGGGUUCUUGUCAUUGUUCGGGGGAGAGUGUGCAUGGGUGUCCAUAUGUGCACUGCUGAUAACCCCCGUAUUAAUAAUUCCAUCUAUUGAUAUUUAAAGUAGGCUAAUAAAUGCAGUCUAGUUUAGUGGGUACUUAAUUGUUUACUAUAGAGACGGGUUAGCUGACAACGUCACAGAAACGAUGUGCGCACUUCAAUGGGGCAAAAAGCUGUGUGUGUCACGCCUGCUCCCGCUCUCCCCCGGCGCAGCGCCAGGAUCCCCAGCAUUACGCACUCAAGCCACCAUCAGUACGCACACCUGCCUCCUCCAUGUCACGCGCAUCAGCAAUCAUUGGACUCGACGUGGGACUCAAUUACUUGUGUCAUUACCUUCCCUAUAUCUGUCCCCAAGCUGUGUUCCCUGCUUCGGGAUUGUCUCAUGUUCGUGUUACCCGUGUUCUCACGCUGUUCCUGUCUUGUUUCCAUGUCUGUUCCCGAAUAAAUGUCUGACUCCCCGUACCUGCUUCUCUUGUCUGGCGUCGGUUGUGAUUCUGGAUAGCCAGAUAGUUAGCAACAAUGACAGGAAGCUCACGGUUGCUCGUUUCAGCUAAUUUUAUCUUGUUCUUGAUACCAUGUCUUUUUUUUUACCCCCUUUUUCUCCCCAAUUUUGUGAUAUCCAAUUGUUCGUCGUUACUGUCUUGUCUCAUGACUACAACUCCC